AGGGCGUAUGGGGAAUGCCUAGGCACACUCCGGCGAAGAAGGACGCAGCAAACAGCGAAAUGCGACGGUGAGCGGUAAGCACGUGAAGAGCCGUCGAUAUCCGAAUGGGGGAACCCACACGGAGUCAUAUCCGUGUAUCACAUGUCGAAUACAUAGACAUGAUGAGGCGAGACGCAGGGAACUGAAACAUCUAAGUACCUGCAGGAAGAGAAAAUAAGAAUGAUUUUCUGAGUAGCGGCGAGCGAAAGGGAAAGAGCCCAAACCGAUCUGAGGAUCGGGGUAGUAGGAUCAUCGAUAAAUCAAACAGAGGAUCAUAGAGGAAUCACAUGGGAAGGUGAGCGAGAGAGGGUGAGAGCCCCGUACUCGAAAUGAGAGACUGGAGAGAGAUGACACCUGAGUAGGGCGGGACACGAGAAAUCCUGUCUGAAUCAGCCGGGACCAUCCGGCAAGGCUAAAUACGAGAGAGUGACCGAUAGUGAACCAGUACCGUGAGGGAAAGGUGAAAAGAACCCCGGGAGGGGAGUGAAAGAGAACCUGAAACCAUAUGCCUACAAGAAGUCAGAGCCCGUUAAAGGGUGAUGGCGUGCCUUUUGUAGAAUGAACCGGCGAGUUACUGUAUGGAGCGAGGUUAAGCAGGAUAUGCGGAGCCGAAGCGAAAGCGAGUCUUAAGAGGGCGCGAGUUGCAUGCAGUAGACCCGAAACCGGGUGAUCUAGCCAUGACCAGGUUGAAGUUGGGGUAAAACCCGAUGGAGGACCGAACCGACCCCCGUUGAAACGUUGGCGGAUGAGUUGUGGCUAGGGGUGAAAUUCCAAUCGAACCCGGAGAUAGCUGGUUCUCCCCGAAAUAGCUUUAGGGCUAGCGUCGAGAGAAGAGUUGCGUGAAGGUAGAGCACUGAAUAUGUGAUGGCCCCAUCUCGGGGUACUGAGCAUAAUCAAACUGCGAAUGUCACGCCAACAUGCUCGGCAGUCAGACAGCGGGUGAUAAGGUCCGUUGUCAAGAGGGAAACAGCCCAGACCAUCAGCUAAGGUCCCAAAAUGUAUGCUAAGUGGAAAAGGAUGUGGAGAUGUACAGACAACUAGGAGGUUGGCUCAGAAGCAGCCAUCCUUUAAAGAGUGCGUAACAGCUCACUAGUCGAAUGACUCUGCGCCGAUAAUUUACCGGGGCUAAGCAUACUACCGAAGCUAUGGAUCCCAAGGGAUGGUAGGGGAGCGUUCCAUGAACGGAGAAGUACGACCGAAAGGACGUGUGGAGAUCAUGGAAGAGAGAAUGCCGGUGUGAGUAGCGGAACGUGGGUGAGAAUCCCACGCACCGAAAACCCAAGGUUUCCAGAGGAAGGUUCGUCCGCUCUGGGUAAGUCGGGACCUAAGGCGAGGCCGAAAGGCGUAGUCGAUGGACAACAGGUAGAGAUUCCUGUACCCGUAUAUAUGUGAAGGAAUGACGGAGAGAGGAAGCUGCAGCCAGCGGCUGGAAGAGCUGGUGCAAGCGAGAUAUCGGGAUGGCAGGCAAAUCCACCAUCCGAAACGAGAAGGCGUGAAGCGUACGGAAAGCUACGGCGAGUACGGAAGGCAGUGGAGGAACUUCCAAGAAAAGUUUCUAACGUUAAGUAUAUAUGGCCCGUACCGAAAAUGGACACACAUGGGUGAGGAGAGAAUCCUAAGGUGAGCGAGAGAACUAUAGCUAAGGAACUCUGCAAAAUGACUCCGUAACUUAGGGAGAAGGAGUGCUCAUAGAGAUAUGAGCCGCAGUGAAACGGCCCAAGCGACUGUUUACCAAAAACACAGCUCUCUGCUAAGCCGCAAGGCGAAGUAUAGGGGGUGACGCCUGCCCGGUGCUGGAAGGUUAAGGGGAGGGGUUAACGCAAGUGAAGCCCUGAACUGAAGCCCCAGUAAACGGCGGCCGUAACUAUAACGGUCCUAAGGUAGCGAAAUUCCUUGUCAGGUAAGUUCUGACCCGCACGAAAGGCGUAACGAUUUGGGCGCUGUCUCAGCUGUAGACUCGGUGAAGUCUUAGUACCUGUGAAGAUGCAGGUUACCCGCGACUAGACGGAAAGACCCCAUGGAGCUUCACUGCAGGUUGAUAUUGGGAUUUGAUGCAGCAUGUACAGGAUAGGUAGGAGGCAAAGAGAUGGAUACGCCAGUAUUCAAGGAGCCGCUGUUGGGAUACUACCCCUGUUGUAUUGGAUUUCUAACCGGACGACGUAGAGCCGUUGACGGGACAGUGUCAGUCGGGCAGUUUGACUGGGGCGGUCGCCUCCCAAAGAGUAACGGAGGCGCCCAAAGAUACCCUCAGCUUGGAUGGAAACCAAGCGCAGAGUGCAAAGGCAAAAGGGUGUUUGACUGCGAGACCUACAAGUCGAGCAGGGACGAAAGUCGGGCUUAGUGAUCCGGCGGUGCUGAAUGGA
rnacentral:rRNA from 1 species